AACGAACGCUGGCGGCAGGUUUAACACAUGCAAGUCGAGCGCCCCGCAAGGGGAGCGGCAGACGGGUGAGUAACGCGUGGGAAUCUACCCAUCUCUACGGAAUAACGCAUGGAAACGUGUGCUAAUGCCGUAUACGUCCUUCGGGAGAAAGAUUUAUCGGAGAUGGAUGAGCCCGCGUUGGAUUAGCUAGUUGGUGGGGUAAAGGCCUACCAAGGCGACGAUCCAUAGCUGGUCUGAGAGGAUGAUCAGCCACACUGGGACUGAGACACGGCCCAGACUCCUACGGGAGGCAGCAGUGGGGAAUAUUGGACAAUGGGCGCAAGCCUGAUCCAGCCAUGCCGCGUGAGUGAUGAAGGCCCUAGGGUUGUAAAGCUCUUUCACCGGUGAAGAUAAUGACGGUACCGGAGAAGAAGCCCCGGCUAACUUCGUGCCAGCCGCCGCAGUAACAC
rnacentral:rRNA from 1 species